rnacentral:rRNA from 1 species
UACGUAGGGUGCAAGCGUUGUCCGGAAUUAUUGGGCGUAAAGAGCUCGUAGGCGGUCUGUCGCGUCGGAUGUGAAAAUCAGGGCUCAACCCUGGACCUGCAUUCGAUACGGGCAGACUAGAGUUCGGCAGGGGAGACUGGAAUUCCUGGUGUAGCGGUGAAAUGCGCAGAUAUCAGGAGGAACACCAAUGGCGAAGGCAGCACUCUGGGACGUGACUGACGCUGAGACGCGAAAGCGUGGGAGCAAACAGG